rnacentral:rRNA from 1 species
GAUGAACGCUGGCGGCGUGCCUAAUACAUGCAAGUCGAGCGAACAGACGAGGAGCUUGCUCCUCUGACGUUAGCGGCGGACGGGUGAGUAACACGUGGAUAACCUACCUAUAAGACUGGGAUAACUUCGGGAAACCGGAGCUAAUACCGGAUAAUAUAUUGAACCGCAUGGUUCAAUAGUGAAAGACGGUUUUGCUGUCACUUAUAGAUGGUUCCGCGCCGCAUUAGCUAGUUGGUAAGGUAACGGCUUACCAAGGCAACGAUGCGUAGCCGACCUGAGAGGAUGAUCGGCCACACUGGAACUGAGACACGGUCCAGACUCCUACGGGAGGCAGCAGUAGGGAAUCUUCCGCAAAGGGCGAAAGCCUGACGGAGCAACGCCGCGUGAGUGAUGAAGGUCUUCGGAUCGUAAAACUCUGUUAUUAGGGAAGAACAAAUGUGUAAGUAACUAUGCACGUCUUGACGGUACCUAAUCAGAAAGCCACGGCUAACUACGUG